rnacentral:tRNA from 186 species
CGCGGGGUGGAGCAGUCUGGUAGCUCGUCGGGCUCAUAACCCGAAGGUCGCAGGUUCAAAUCCUGUCCCCGCAACCA